CCUACGGGAGGCAGCAGUGAGGAAUAUUGGUCAAUGGGCGAGAGCCUGAACCAGCCAAGUCGCGUGAGGGAGUACUGCCCUAUGGGUUGUAAACCUCUUUUGUCGGGGAGCAAAAGCCGGACGUGUCCGGCUGUGAGAGUACCCGAAGAAAAAGCAUCGGCUAACUCCGUGCCAGCAGCCGCGGUAAUACGGAGGAUGCGAGCGUUAUCCGGAUUUAUUGGGUUUAAAGGGUGCGAAGGCGGAUUUUUAAGUGAGCGGUAAAAUCGUGGGGCUCAACCCCAUCCAGCCGUUGAAACUGGGGAUCUAGAGUGUGCGAGAGGUAUGCGGAAUGCGUGGUGUAGCGGUGAAAUGCAUAGAUAUCACGCAGAACCCCGAUUGCGAAGGCAGCAUACCGGUGCACAACUGACGCUCAGGCACGAAAGCGUGGGUAUCGAACAGGAUUAGAUACCCGGGUAGUC
rnacentral:rRNA from 1 species